rnacentral:rRNA from 1 species
AAUCAACGCUGGCGGCGUGCCUAACACAUGCAAGUCGAACGCGAAAACCUCGCAAGGGGUGAGUAGAGUGGCAAACGGGUGAGUAACACGUGGGUGACCUGCCUUCGAGUGGGGGAUAACGUCCCGAAAGGGACGCUAAUACCGCAUAACAUCCUGCCUUUUAAGAGGUGGACAUCAAAGCUGGGGAUCGCAAGACCUAGCGCUGGAAGAGGGGCCCGCGCCUGAUUAGCUAGUUGGGGGGUAAUGGCUCACCAAGGCAACGAUCAGUAUCCGGCCUGAGAGGGCGGACGGACACACUGGGACUGAGACACGGCCCAGACUCCUACGGGAGGCAGCAGUGGGGAAUUGUUCGCAAUGGGCGCAAGCCUGACGACGCAACGCCGCGUGGAGGAUGAAGACCU